CUUUUCCAAACCAGACUUACCUGAGCGUCCACCUGCUUCCCCACUCUCUCAGAUACUAAUUGUGUGGGGAGGUAAACACAGCAGUCAAGUGGAGAGGACGGCGAGUCAAGCGUGAAUAUCAAUCUUCCCACAUCAGUGUCAUCAGAUGACUUUGACGGAGUUGAGGCAGGGCUCAUUAGGGCGCCACGGGCUGCAAUAACAUCCAGGUGGAGGGCUCUGAUGUUCGCCAGGUAACAGCCGCAGGUAUAGCUGGAUAUGUUUGUGUUGAUCUCCUUGCACCUGACUUUUCUGCUCCUCCGCUUGAAGUUGUGAAAAGACCAUUGGGGAAACCACAGAAGCUGCUGCGAACACAAGACACACACAAACACACACUGCUAUAUGCUGACAGGCUGAAUGAAAUGCCAGUAGCCCAGUAAGAUUAUGAGAUAUAGUUGUAUUAGCCUAGACAAUGUAAGUUAGUCUUUAUGAACAUUGUGUGUGAUGAUAUCUCUGGAUGUAAACGUUAUGAUGACAAAGAUAAAGUUAAG
ensembl:lncRNA